rnacentral:rRNA from 1 species
GAUGAACGCUGGCGGCGUGCCUAAUACAUGCAAGUCGAGCGAACAGACGAGAGUGCUUGCACUCUCUGACGUUAGCGGCGGACGGGUGAGUAACACGUGGGUAACCUACCUAUAAGACUGGGAUAACUUCGGGAAACCGGAGCUAAUACCGGAUAAUAUUUAGCUUCGCAUGAAGCAAUAGUGAAAGACGGUUCUGCUGUCACUUAUAGAUGGACCCGCGGUGUAGUAGCUAGUUGGUGAGGGAACCGCUCACCAAGGGAACUAUACAAAGCGGACCUGAGGGGGUGAUCCGCCACACUGGAACUGAGACACGGCCCAGACUCCUACGGGAGGCAACAGUCGGGAAUCUUCCGCAAUGGACGAAAGUCUGACGGAGCAAUGCCGCGUGAGUGAAGAAGGUUUUCGGAUCGUAAAACUCUGUUGUAAGUGAAGAACAAGUGCGUUAGUAACUGAGCGUACCUUGACGGUACCUGAACAGAAAGCCACGGCUAACUACGUG